ACUUUGUUGUUUUUCUACGAACGUGGUGAACUUUCGGAUUUACAUGUGAAACAGGUUCAUGACAUGUAGAGCAAAAUUCGCUGUCCUAUUCAUACUUUUUACAAGCAGUGCCCUACACUGAAAUUCUUUCCAAAUAGCUCUAAUUACAGGUAGCCCACGUAAUGCCUGGAGGGCCACUACCCAUAGGGGAUGCCUACUUCCAUAUACUGACUAGUGAUGCGAGUAACGUAACCGAUGCAAACUGUACCCAUGGAAUCCGGUGGAUCUACAAAGCCCUGGGAGACUGUGUGUGGGAGCCAAAGGGGAUCUCCUCUGUAGCCCUGGGGCUGGCCUCUAUUGUAUUCUGGAUGGUAGUCAGCAUUCCUCAGAUGGUGAAGAACUGCAGGAACAUUGCGGGUGUAGAGGGGAUCUCUAUCCUGCUGAUCCUCCAGUGGACACUGGGUGACGCCACAAACCUAGUGGGAGCUAUCCUGACCAAUCAACUACCUCUGCAGAUAUACCUUGCCAUAUACUUUGUGUUUGCUGAUCUAGUCCUUUUCUCUCAAUAUAUUUAUUACCAAAUAUGGAAGCGAAAACAGGCAAAAAACAAAGAGAAUACAGACCAGGGACUUUGCCAAAAAUUGUUCUAUGUUUUACGGGUGCAUUUCUUGGAACCAAUUUUUUGGGACCCGCUGUCUACCAAGCAGUUUCACCAUUUCAAAACCAGGGUUCAAACAUGCAUAUAAUGCAGCACCCAGCUGGCCGAAGUUUGCUGGCUACCAACUUACAACAUAAUGCUGUGAUAUUUCAUGGAUUUAAAGAUGAGAUUGGCUAUGCAAUAGGAAUAGUCUCCAGUAUAUUUUACAUAGGAUCAAGGACAGCACAAUUGUACAAAAAUUACAAAAGGCAAUCAACAGAUGGCCUGUCCAUUCUGAUGUUUUGGCUGGCUAUUUUCGGUAACCUGACAUAUGGACUAGCAAUACUAGUGAGAGAGUUGGACAGUGUGUAUGUUAUACGACACGUUCCCUGGCUUGUAGGGAGUCUGGGAGUUAUCCUUCUUGAUGCCUCUCUGGUGCUGCAAUUUAAGUAUUAUGGAGGUGAGGACUUUGACACACUUUCUAACGAACCUCUUCUUCAAGAUCAGGAAAUAGUGGUGGAAGUGGAACCCAGCAGUCGGCAAUAUGGCACCAUCAACUAGUCUCUCCUUGUUUCUUCAUAUGUUGUGGAAAACAUUCCUCCAUUGUGACACAGCAUAUUUUCUACAGGAUGUCAAUUUUGGAAACUAAAUGUUGGACUGUGAUGUUUUUUUUUUUUUUACAUUAUCAAUUUGUAGGCCUCCCAAUUUAGUUUCAUCAAAAAAAAUGACAGGUAAUGUAUGUUUUUAGUGGUGCAUCCCUCUCUAAUAUGAAAUCAGUGAUAAUCCGAUAUCAGGGAGGUUUCAAAGAAAUGAUAUUAUACCGGUAAUAAUUCAAAGAUUUACAUGAGAUUAAGUGGGGAGUGCCAAUAUUCUAAUAAAUAUUAUGGAUCUAACAGUAUUUGUACAAAGAGUUGUGUCAUGACUUUUAUGCCAUGGAAUGGUAGUGACAUGUUAGUCCUGUCUGUCCAUGGAUUGUUCCUACAUUCCAUCAUUCAAUCAAUUUGAUUGCUAGCCUUCUCGGGAAUUCUGUACUCCACAGUAGUUCAAAAUACUGUAACUUGUUUUAUGUCAGAAACAAAAAAUAUUAUAUAACAACUGUUUUAAUGAAAUUUAAAAAUGUUUUAUAAAAGUAUGAAUAAACUUUCAAAGUGAC
rnacentral:misc_RNA from 1 species